rnacentral:rRNA from 1 species
GGUACAUGCAGGUGAUCGCCGUUCGAAGACGGUUCCUCUUCGGAGGCACCUGCACAGGUGCUGCAUGGCUGUCGUCAGCUCGUGUCGUGAGAUGUUGGGUUAAGUCCGCAACGAGCGCAACCCUUAUCCCUACGUUGCCAUCAGGUAAAGCUGGGAACUCUGGGGAGACUGCCGGUGAUAAACCGGAGGAAGGCGGGGAUGACGUCAAGUCCUCAUGGCCCUUACAUCCCGGGCUACACACGUGCUACAAUGGCAGGUACAGAGGGCUGCGAAGCCGCGAGGUGGAGCGAAUCCCAGAAAACCUGUCUCAGUCCGGAUUGAAGUCUGCAACCCGACUCCAUGAAGGUGGAAUCGCUAGUAAUCGCGCAUCAGCAUGGCGCGGUGAAUACGUUCCCGGGCCUU